rnacentral:rRNA from 1 species
UACGGGGGGUGCGAGCGUUGUUCGGAAUUAUUGGGCGUAAAGAGCGUGUAGGCGGCUGGAUCAGUCAGAUGUGAAAUCCCUGGGCUUAACCCAGGACGUGCAUUUGAAACUGUCCGGCUGGAGUAGGGGAGAGGAAAGUGGAAUUCCUGGUGUAGAGGUGAAAUUCGUAGAUAUCAGGAGGAACACCGGUGGCGAAGGCGACUUUCUGGCCCUAUACUGACGCUGAGACGCGAGAGCGUGGGUAGCAAACAGGAUUAGAAACCCUAGUAGUCC